UUUUGAGAUAUUGUACGUCAUUACCAAAUUGGCUGUAAUUUCAUCAAAUAAUUAUUUAGGAUACAUUGUAUGCUUGCUGUUCAACUUCAUGCUAGAAUCCCUGCUAUUUAUGACCAAAUACUGUAAAAAUGUAAUUCCCACCACAUGUCAUUACCACCACAUAAUGAACUGUGAUGGUAAGGACAAUGUGGUGGUAAUGACUAAAUGUAUUAGUCAUCUCUCCAAAGUUCUCUCCCACCUUCAUGAGUUGAAUCCAUCUGCCACUGUCUUCCAUGUUGUAAGUGAUGGACCAACCACACAGUACAGAUCCAAGAAUAAUUUAUUCUACCUGAGCACAAUUGAAGGCUGGACGCAGCUGUGAAGAGAAGUUGAUUCCAUGGUGGCAAGAGGAAUGGACCUUCAGAAUGGAAGGGUUCUACGAGGAACUUUCCCAAGAGCAGUCAAAUGUGAAGCUAUUUUACGUCACAGAGCAAGAGAUUGAGAAAAUUGAUCUCCUGCUUCCAGAUCGUAUUGAGAUGACCCGUGGAACAAUGAAAAUACACCAGAUCGUCACUGCCAUUCCAGGACAAAUCACAUGGAGAGUUCUAAGUUGUUGGUGCUCAACUCCACAUCUGUGAUUGUUUUGGCCCACAGACUGAGAUAAUUCAACAAACAGAGGCAGACAAAGCACAAUCUUCACCUCAACCUGCACAGCACCACAACUAUUUCCUAGUGCAAAACUGCCCAUUGCAGACAUACAUGAGAGACUGAUUGGAAAGUGGUGUGUUGUGAAAUAUGAUGACGACCCUUACCUUGGUAUUAUACAAGGUGUUGAUGCAGAGAGCAGUGCUCUAGUCAAGACGAUGAGUCGUGUGAGAGCAAACAGAUUCUUUUGGCCAAGGAGAGAGGAAAUUGUAUGGUACCAACCAGAGAAUGUGCUUGGGCUUGUCCCUGAGCCUCAUCCAGUGACCAAAUGGCAUAUGAUGCCUGAUGGCGCAGUCUGGGAGGACAUUUGCUCUCUCGUUAAGCAAUAGAGAGCAUAAUCUUGAGUGAGUCUGAAUCAAUAGACUGCAGCCAGUGAACAACAAUUUGUUUAAUGUCACCUAGUGUUUACAACCUUAUAGAUGUAUUUCUGCCUAAUGCAUUGAAUCCAACAAUUGUUCUGAAAUAUGCUUUAAGUUCUUGAGGCAUGUAACCUUUUUGUUUUUUGAGGUUUUUAAUGUUGUGUUCUAUAUCUUCAAUAAAAUGAAACAUGUACACCUGUGACGUUCAAAA